rnacentral:rRNA from 1 species
UGGGGAAUUUUGGACAAUGGGGGAAACCCUGAUCCAGCCAUCCCGCGUGUGCGAUGAAGGCCUUCGGGUUGUAAAGCACUUUUGGCAGGAAAGAAACGUCAUGGGUUAAUACCCCGUGAAACUGACGGUACCUGCAGAAUAAGCACCGGCUAACUACGUGCCAGCAGCCGCGGUAAUACGUAGGGUGCAAGCGUUAAUCGGAAUUACUGGGCGUAAAGCGUGCGCAGGCGGUUCGGAAAGAAAGAUGUGAAAUCCCGGAGCUCAACUUUGGAACUGCAUUUUUAACUACCAGGCGAGAGUGUGUCAGAGGGAGGUGGAAUUCCGCGUGUAGCAGUGAAAUGCAUAGAUAUGAGGAGGAACACCGAUGGCGAAGGCAGCCUCCUGGGAUAACACUGACACUCAUGCACGAAAGCGUGGGGAGCAAACAGA